rnacentral:rRNA from 1 species
UAAGGGGAUGCCUUGGAAGAAAAAUAUGAGAUGGGAGAUCCCAAAAUUUUAGGAUAAAAUCGACAACGACUAAGCCUAUAAUUCUCAAAGGAUAAAUCCAAAGCUGCUGAGGCAGAUAAAACUGGGGGAGGGGAAACAUCUUCGUACCCCAGGAUAAAAAUCAACCGAGAAACCGAGAGUAGUGGUGAGCGAAAUCGGUCCUGGCAGUUCGAAAAGAAUGUGAGAGGAGAAAGAGACAAGGUAAAAAAGUCCUGUAAAAUCUUAAUUCUUUUCGAGAGAAAGUAAAGUCAAUCAUGUUUAGUUGGCUUGAAGAUUGGGGGACCACCCUCAAAGCCUAUAAAAUUUUUCUUACCGAUAGUGAACUAGUACCGUGAGGGAAAGGUGGAAGAAAGGAAAUUAAAAAAUUCCAUUUGCGUAUAAGCAAAUAAUCUGAAACUUCUUGUGAUUAAACAGUCGGAGCAAUAGUGACGGCGUACCUUUUGUAUAAUGGAUCAGCGAGUUGAGUGUGGAGGCAAGCUUAAGUAUUAUGAAGGCGAAGAAAAUCCAAGUAUGAAAAAUUGCGGGAAAGUCGCCAUACUCAGACCCGAAGCCAAGUGAGCUAACCUUGAACAGGUUGAAAUUUAGAAGGUAACUUCUUAUGGAGGACCGAACCCGUGUAUGUGGCAAAAUACUGGGAUGAUUUGAGGUUAGGGGUGAAAGGCCUAUCAAACUUGGGGAUAGCUGGUUUUCUGCGAAAUCUAUUUAAGUAGAACGUCUUUUGGCACCACUUUGGGGUAAAGCACUUUUUGGAAUAUGGGAAUCCUAGAUUUUACUGACUCUGAGAAAACUAAAAAUACGAAGUGGGUUUAAAAGGCAGACAGUCUCUGGGUGAGAAGAUCCAGAGACGAGAGGGAAACAGCCCAGAUUGUUAAUUAAGGUCCUUAAGUUCGAAUUAAGUGAAUAAGGAAGUUUUAAAGUGAUGACAGUCAGGAGGUGGGCUUGGAAGCAGCCAUCCCCUAAGGAAAGCGUAACAGCUCACUGGCCCAGCUUUAAAGCGCCGAAGAUAAUGAGGGCUAAAAUUCGACACCGAAAUUACAAACUUUCAGGAGAAAGUGGUAGCAGAACGCUCUGUAAAUUUAUGUAAUGGGAAAACCCAUUAUUAUUAUAUCAGAGUUGAGAAUGCUGAUAUGAGUAACAUAAAACAAAGUCAAAAACUUUGUGGCCGUAAGCCUAAGGGUUUCAAUUAAAGGUUAAGCCUAGUUGAUAUUUAAUAAAACGGUCCCUAAGAGAUAAGAGCGAUAGCCUUACUUGAUGGGUAGAUAUAAUGCUUGAUAACUGAGUGACGAAAAUGGGCACAUAGUAUUAUUGGUUAAGAUUUUCAAUAAUAUUAUGGAAUAUUUUCCAGGAAAAAGCGCAGUUUAUAUUUAAAAUAAAAUCACCGUACCCUAAACCAACACAGGUAGGCGAGUGCAGUACACUCAGGCGAUGAGAUAAUCAGGUUGAAGGAACUCGGCAAAAUAACCCUGUAACUUCGGAAAAAGGGGGGACAAGGUUAAUCGUAAGGUUAACUUUGUUGUCACGAAAUGGGGGGUAGCGACUGUUUAAUAAAAACACAGGUCUCUGCGAAAUCGUAAGAUGAUGUAUAGAGACUGACGCCUGCCCGGUGCGGCAAGGUGAAAAGUCCGGGUGCAAGCCUUGGCUAUAAGCCCCCGUAAACGGCGGCUGUAACUCUGACGGUCCUAAGGUAGCAAAAUUCCUUGUCGGGUAAGUUCCGACCAGCAUGAAUGGCGUAACGACUUCCCCACUGUCUCCAACUUGAGCUCAGUGAAAUUGAAAUGACCGUGAAGAUGCGGUCUUCCUCCAGCUAGACGGAAAGACCCUGUGCACCUUUACUAUACCUUAUUAUUGUCAUGAGUUUUUCAGGAUGUAGUUAGGUGGGAGAGUUUUAAAACUCAUCAGUGAAAGACCACUGCCUGUUUAAACUUUUGACUCACCUUUAUGGCACAGUGAUAGGGAGGUAGUUUGACUGGGGCGGUGGCCUCCUAAAGGGUAACGGAGGCGUGCAAAGGUAGAUUAAAAAGGAUAUUGCUAAUAUCUGCCUGACUGAAAGAGAGACAUCUCAAUCAGGGACGUAAGUCGGUCAAAGUGAUCCGGUGGUACUGUGUGGAAAGGCCAUCGCGCAACGGAUAAAAGGUACGCCAGGGAUAACAGGCUAAUGAGGCCCUAGAGUACCGAUCGACGGCCUCGUUUGGCACCUCGAUGUCGACUCAUCACAUCCUGGAGGUGGAGAAGCUUCCAAGGGUUCGGCUGUUCGCCGAUUAAAGUGGUACGUGAGUUGGGUUUAGAACGUCGUGAGACAGUUUGGUCCCUAUCUCCUGGAGGAUUAGAAAAGAGCGGGUUGAAUCACUUUGUACGAAAGGACCGGUGAUUGUUCAUCCCUGGUGUCCCGGUUGUUUAUCUUUGAAGCAAUGCCGGGUAGCUACAUGAACUUUAUAUAAUCCCUGAAAGCAUAUAAGGGAGAAAAUUUACCCAAUUUCUUUUUAAAAUUUCGUCAAAGAAGCUGACGUUAAUAGGGUAAAUGUGGAAGACUGGUAACA